GAUGAACGCUGGCGGCGUGCCUAAUACAUGCAAGUCGAGCGAACGGACGAGAAGCUUGCUUCUCUGAUGUUAGCGGCGGACGGGUGAGUAACACGUGGAUAACCUACCUAUAAGACUGGGAUAACUUCGGGAAACCGGAGCUAAUACCGGAUAAUAUUUUGAACCGCAUGGUUCAAAAGUGAAAGACGGUCUUGCUGUCACUUAUAGAUGGAUCCGCGCUGCAUUAGCUAGUUGGUAAGGUAACGGCUUACCAAGGCAACGAUGCAUAGCCGACCUGAGAGGGUGAUCGGCCACACUGGAACUGAGACACGGUCCAGACUCCUACGGGAGGCAGCAGUAGGGAAUCUUCCGCAAUGGGCGAAAGCCUGACGGAGCAACGCCGCGUGAGUGAUGAAGGUCUUCGGAUCGUAAAACUCCGUUAUUAGGGAAGAACAUAUGUGUAAGUAACUGUGCACAUCUUGACGGUACCUAAUCAGAAAGCCACGGCUAAUUACGUG
rnacentral:rRNA from 1 species